rnacentral:rRNA from 1 species
AUGCUUAGUGGCGGAAGGGUGAGGAACGCGUGAGUAAUCUGCCCUCAAGUUGGGAAUAACAGUUGGAAACGACUGCUAAUAUCGAAUGUGGCUGUUGAACCGCAUGGUUUGACGGUUAAAGAUUUAUUGCUUGAGGAUGAGCUCGCGUCCCAUUAGUUAGUUGGUGAGGCAACGGCUCACCAAGACGAUGAUGGGUAGCUGGUCUGAGAGGAUGGUCAGCCACACUGGGACUGAGACACGGUCCAGACUCCCACGGGAGGCAGCAGUGGGGAAUAUUGGGCAAUGGGCGAAAGCCUGACCCAGCAAUGCCGCGUGAAGGAAGAAGGUCUUCGGAUUGUAAACUUCUGUCCUAUGGGACGAACACAAUGACGGUACCAUAGGAGGAAGCCCCGGCUAACUACGUGCCAGCAGCCGCGGUAAUACGUAGGGGGCGAGCGUUGUCCGGAAUUACUGGGCGUAAAGGGUGCGUAGGCGGAAUUGUAAGUCAGAUGUGAAAUACUCAGGCUUAACCUGGGGGCUGCAUUUGAAACUGCAAUCCUUGAGUGCAGGAGAGGUAAGUAGAAUUCCUAGUGUAGCGGUGAAAUGCGUAGAUAUUAGGAGGAAUACCGGUGGCGAAGGCGACUUACUGGACUGUAACUGACGCUGAGGCACGAAAGCGUGGGGAGCAAACAGGAUUAGAUACCCUGGUAGUCCACGCCGUAAACGAUGGAUACUAGGUGUGGGCGUCGAUAGGCGUCCGUGCCGCAGCAAACGCAUUAAGUAUCCCGCCUGGGGAGUACGAUCGCAAGGUUGAAACUCAAAGGAAUUGACGGGGGCCCGCACAAGCAGCGGAGCAUGUGGUUUAAUUCGAAGCAACGCGAAGAACCUUACCAAGGCUUGACAUCCCUUGACCGAUGUAGAGAUACAUCUUCCCUUCGGGGCAAGGUGACAGGUGGUGCAUGGUUGUCGUCAGCUCGUGUCGUGAGAUGUUGGGUUAAGUCCCGCAACGAGCGCAACCCCUAUUGCCAGUUGCCAGCACGUAAUGGUGGGAACUCUGGUAAGACCGCCGGGGAUAACUCGGAGGAAGGUGGGGACGACGCCAAAUCAUCAUGCCCCUUAUGUCUUGGGCUACACACGUGCUACAAUGGCCGGUACAAAGGGCUGCAAAGUCGUAAGACUAAGCGAAUCUCAAAAAGCCGGUCUCAGUUCGGAUUGUGGGCUGCAACCCGCCCACAUGAAGUCGGAGUUGCUAGUAAUCGCGAAUCAGCAUGUCGCGGUGAAUGCGUUCCCGGGCCUUGCACACACCGCCCGUCA